rnacentral:rRNA from 1 species
CCUACGUGAGGCAGCAGUAGGGAAUCUUCCACAAUGGGCGAAAGCCUGAUGGAGCAACGCCGCGUGGGUGAAGAAGGUCUUCGGAUCGUAAAACCCUGUUGUUAGAGAAGACAGUGCGUGAGAGUAACUGUUCACGUUUCGACGGUAUCUAACCAGAAAGCCACGGCUAACUACGUGCCAGCAGCCGCGGUAAUACGUAGGUGGCAAGCGUUAUCCGGAUUUAUUGGGCGUAAAGGGAACGCAGGCGGUCUUUUAAGUCUGCUGUGAAAGCCUUCGGCUUAACCGGAGUAGUGCAUUGGAAACUGGGAGACUUGAGUGCAGAAGAGGAGAGUGGAACUCCAUGUGUAGCGGUGAAAUGCGUAGAUAUAUGGAAGAACACCAGUGGCGAAAGCGGCUCUCUGGUCUGUAACUGACGCUGAGGUUCGAAAGCGUGGGUAGCAAACAGGAUUAGAUACCCUAGUAGUC